GUAAUCGUAGCUUAAUAUUAAAGCACGGCACUGAAGAUGCCGAGAUGGACGCUCAAAAUCUCCCGAAAACA
rnacentral:tRNA from 2 species